rnacentral:rRNA from 1 species
CCUCCAGACUCCUACGGGAGGCAGCAGUGGGGGAUAUUGCACAAUGGGGGGAACCCUGAUGCAGCGACGCCGCGUGGGUGAAGGAGCGUUUCGGCGCGUAAAGCCCUAUCGGCAGGGAAGAAGGAGGACGGUACCUCUUGAAUAAGCCACGGCUAACUACGUGCCAGCAGCCGCGGUAAUACGUAGGUGGCAAGCGUUGUCCGGAUUUACUGGGUGUAAAGGGCGUGCAGCCGGGAGUGCAAGUCAGAUGUGAAAUCCCGCGGCUCAACCGCGGAACUGCAUUUGAAACUGUGCUUCUUGAGUGCUGGAGAGGCAGACGGAAUUCCUAGUGUAGCGGUGAAAUGCGUAGAUAUUAGGAGGAACACCAGUGGCGAAGGCGGCCUGCUGGACGAUGACUGACGCUGAGGCUCGAAAGCGUGGGGAGCAAACAGGAUUAGAUACCCUAGUA